rnacentral:rRNA from 1 species
GACAGAGGGUGCAAACGUUGUUCGGAAUUACUGGGCGUAAAGCGCGUGUAGGCGGCCAUCUAAGACGGGCGUGAAAUCCCACGGCUCAACCGUGGAAGUGCACUCGAAACUGGAUGGCUAGAGUCCUGGAGAGGAAGGUGGAAUGCUUGGUGUAGAGGUGAAAUUCGUAGAUAUCAAGCGGAACACCGGUGGCGAAGGCGGCCUUCUGGACAGUGACGUGACGCUGAGACGCGAAAGCGUGGGGAGCAAACAGGG